CGCAAGAUUAAAACUCAAAUGAAUUGACGGGGGCCCGCACAAGCGGUGGAGCAUGUGGUUUAAUUCGAUGCAACGCGAAGAACCUUACCUACUCUUGACAUCCAGAGAACUUUCCAGAGAUGGAUUGGUGCCUUCGGGAACUCUGAGACAGGUGCUGCAUGGCUGUCGUCAGCUCGUGUUGUGAAAUGUUGGGUUAAGUCCCGCAACGAGCGCAACCCUUAUCCUUGUUUGCCAGCGAGUAAUGUCGGGAACUCCAGGGAGACUGCCGGUGAUAAACCGGAGGAAGGUGGGGACGACGUCAAGUCAUCAUGGCCCUUACGAGUAGGGCUACACACGUGCUACAAUGGCGCAUACAGAGGGCAGCCAACUUGCGAGAGUGAGCGAAUCCCAAAAAGUGCGUCGUAGUCCGGAUCGGAGUCUGCAACUCGACUCCGUGAAGUCGGAAUCGCUAGUAAUCGUGGAUCAGAAUGCCACGGUGAAUACGUUCCCGGGCCUUGUACACACCGCCCGUCACACCAUGGGAGUGGGCUGCAAAAGAAGUAGGUAGUUUAACCUUCGGGAGGACGCUUA
rnacentral:rRNA from 2 species